rnacentral:rRNA from 1 species
AUGGGUAUGCAGUCUAUGAUGGCUGUCCGGUGCACGAACCUUGUCAACCCUGUAUGCAACUGGCUUGCUGAGAUAUACGAGCCCGCCUCCAGGGAGUUCGUGAUUCCGGGACGUGGAAGACUCCCGUUGAACGAGGAUUCUGUGUUCUGCACUCAGGGCGUGCCUCGUGGACAUAUCAAAGUCCCAUACGAGGUCAACAAUGAGAUCGAGCAAGAGCUAUUCCCCCGUUUGUUUCCUGGGUCGGAAUCCAUGCCGAACACGUCUGCAGUGGCAGAUUCGCUGCAGGCCAUGACGACGCAUGGAGAUGUUUUCAAGAUGAAGCUACUCAUGUACCUCAUCUCAGCUGUUUUCGCGCCGACCACCUCCCUUCGCCCAAGCAACAAAUGCUUCCCCAUCCUGGUGGAUCUGAAAAAUGUGAAGAACAUGAAUUGGUGCAAGUUUAUUGCCGACUUCCUCCACGAUGCAUUCUCAAGCAAGAUGUACCAAAAGGAUUGUCGACUGCAUUUAAUGCUCAUGUAUGUCGACUGUCUUGAUCUGUCCACUGUGGAUUUCACUGGGGUAGGAGUCCCGCCACCUACGCACAAGUUUGCUGUUUCUGCGUGGACUAUCAACGCUGUCAAGGUUGUGCUUGCCGCAGACAGGGCAACUGAUACCAAAUAUGGAAAACUGCAGCUGAUGGCCAAGCAUGCUAUAGACUACAGCGUGUUUGGGGGGCCUCAAAACUUUGGAAAGUGGAUGGACGUGCACUCAGCUCCAUCUUGCCCUACUGAGGCGAGGGCACAUGUUGAGCAUCUAAUUGGGCAGUUUGCAUCCGGAAUGACCGGCUUGCUCGGGAAGUUGGUUGAGGGGUGGAAGUCUCUCAGUGGCUCUGACAGUGACGCGGUUGCGAGGCAGUUCACUUCAUUUGUCCCAGAACAUACACAUCGGUCAACCGGUUGCCGUGGUUGGUAUGACUACAACAGUUCACAAGAGCCCGGUGACACACAAGAUGAUCUAGAUGGAGACGCUGGCCUCGGUGAGGAUGACGACGAUGACAUGGAGAAUGUGCAACAGGACACUGAUGAUGAUGAGCAUGCUGAAGUUCGCGCAGGUUGUAACAAGGACAAGGAUGCAACAGAUGUCCCCCCACCGGAGAAAGUCAAAGAACAUACGGCUGCGAGAGGUGAGGGGGUGUUGCCAUCAAGGAGGGGGAGGGCUCCAGGAGAUGUUGGGCAGGGUUCUCAUGGCAAGAGGUCUAGGACCGAUCCCGUAGCUGCCAGGAGGAGCGAGCCGACCGCUGGUGGACGAGCAGUUACGAAGAAACAGGCGCCAACGCCAAACCGUGUUUCUGCUCGCUUGAACAAAGGCGCCCCCAUUGCCGGUGACACCCCUUCCACCAGGUCUUCUCCUCGUACGACGACGACCAACACCGGGGAUCCUGUCGUGUUGCCAUACCUGAGAAAGCCAGUCAAGAAGGUGAAGAAGACCACUAUGCGUGGGGCCAAGCAUACCAGUAAGGACCCGCUCGAACGCCUACAUUCAAAGUUGUCAACAGGGGGCAACUCAGAUGUACAUGAGGCACCAGGCGACAAUACUACUGCUGCACCGUUGACCGCUCCCACCAACUCUGAUGCAAGUGGCCGACCAUCUCCGCCGGCUGCAGAUGUGCAGGCUAGAACAACAGGCAUCCGUACAUCGGGGAGUGACGAGUCGGUAUCUGCCAGGACAGAUGAAAUAUUGCCAACUCUACUGGCAAUGAAGGAUGCUGCUGUGAGCCAUGCCACCCCAUCAGCAAGCGUUGAAGUGGACGCUCCCGAGACGAACCUAAGCAAGGAAGAUUCCCGCUCAUCUGACACUGAUUCCAAGCGCGUGCGUGGUCGCACUCCUGUGUCCACGACAGAAGUGGCUGAGGCGGCAGUUCACAAGGAUAUGCCAUCUACAGGUGAGAGUCCUGGCACAACAGCUCCAGCUCCUGUCGGUGCAGAUACUGCUAAGGCGACUGUUUCGCGUGCUGGUCUUCCACCUAGGUGCCGUAGCCCCCGCAAGCAACCAACAGACACACCCAACGCAUCGGCUGCAGCUAGGAGCAGGAGAGACGAGCCUGGUUAUGUCCCUGCGUCCACACUGUUCCCACCACCUGCCAAAAGCAAUGUGAUGGAGAAACCGGAAGACCUGAGCACAAUUGAUGCAGGUGUCAAGCCGGGCACGAGUGACGCAGGUGAACGCCCGGAGCAAACUGCGCCUUUACCCGCAUUGGAAAUCCCCAGCAUAAAUCUGCACACUUCCAGGCUCCCAGUCAAUGUCGGUGUCCCCAACAGCCCAAACAAGAAGAUUGUCAAGAAAGUUGUGGCUGAUACCGCUGAUAACACGCCCCGCCCUACAAAUAAGCUUGAUCAUUCUGUAGCGGCUGAUUCAGAUAUGUUUGUCGAUCUUUCACCCUUGGAUUCUGCCCCGCAAAUUGUUCAUGGUCCGGCCAGUAGGAAUGAGAGGCACCCAAUGGCCUUUACCCCACCGAGCUUCAGCCUUGGCAUCAGUCAAGAUCAACCGGUGCCAAUGGUCGAGGGCAGGAAGGCUGUCAAGUUCGUAGAGCCGAUUGUGCAAGCCACCCCUGAGGAGAUUUCACCGUCACUUGACGAAGCUUACCGCAUGAUCGAGGAGGCAACAUUGCAUAGGAGGUCCUCACGAGGGCAAGGGCAAUCAAGUUCCAACAUGCCUGUAGAUACGGUAUCUGAGGAUACCAUUAGGAGUGCCACUCCUGGUUCUGUGAGGCAGCAGAGGGUAGUUCACCCACCUCCCGCGGAAGACUACGAGCCCGAAUUCAAGGCCACUAAGGAACAGACCCAGCUGUACGAUAUCAUCAAGCGGUUUGGAAAUGCAAGGGCCAGCAGCAAGCACAUGAAGGAGCUGAAAGCAACCAAAGUCAUUCAAUGCGGAGCGACGUACGUCGACCUGGGUGAUCUUGCCGAGUCCGUGAGGCCAAACGGUAAAAUGUCGACGAAUGUAGUUGCAUGCGGGAUCGACUACAUCAAUAAUCAUAUGGAUGUGUGUGCCGACAAGAUAAUCAUGCAUUAUAGUGUGACCUGCAAAAUAUGGGAUGGUGACUUCCACCACAAAAUCCCGAGGAAGAAUUUUGCUCAACACGGUGAAUUCAAGCUCACACUGAAGAAAUAUAUGUUUUCAUGCGGCAACAGCUGCCGUGCACACUGUCAUCUUGAUUUUUGCAUCCCGUGCAAACUAUGUGGCAACUUGAUAGUCAUGUUCCCCAUGUUCCAGGAGCUUGCACCACAUGACCAGCAAGACAAGUGUGGUCACCACUAUGCCAUCUGUCUUGACCUGAAGAACCAACGUUUUGAGGUGCUUGAUUCAAUCCGUUCGGAAGCUGAUGCAGAUCUUACUACGCAUGCCGAAUUCUUCAUCAACAACCUCAAAGAGACAUGGAACCGUCACUACGAACAUUCAAAAGUCCAGAUCAGGCAUUUCCUGACUGAGUAUGUGUCGACUGCGAAGCAAGGGAACAUGACGGACUGUGGCUUUCACGCGCUGGAAUACUUUGCAAAGUGGGAAGGCAGAAUUGUCCCCACUAUCACAGCUGCAACGGUCGUUGAGCUCCGGAAAAUCCACACAUGGAACUGGUUGACGAAUGAAGAUUUCAACAAGCGGUCCGGAGCACGCGAGUUUGUGGAGGAAGCUGUCAAGAAAGUCAUCAAGAGGUACAAGUGA